UACGUAGGGUGCAAGCGUUAUCCAGAUUUACUGGGCGUAAAGCGCACGCAGGCGGAUGAUUAAGCCAGCUGUGAAAGCUCCCGGCUCAACUGGGAAGGGUCGGCUGAAACUAGUCGUCUGGAGGGCAACAGAGGAGUGUAGAAUUGCGGGUGUAGUGGUGAAAUGCGUAGAUAUCCGCAGGAAUACCAGUGGCGAAGGCGGCACUCUGGGUUGUACCUGACGCUGAUGUGCGAAGGCUAGGGGAGCGAACAGG
rnacentral:rRNA from 1 species